rnacentral:rRNA from 1 species
GUAAGAUCUAAUAUUAACUUAGUUUAGUAACUAAAAUGGUUUGGCAGUGAGUGAUUCUUUUUAGGGGAAGGUGUGGUGUAAAGGAUGUUCCGCCUAUUAAUUUACUUUUAUUAUGUUGGUGUAUAUCUGGUUUAAUAUUAUUGUUGAGUGAUGUAUAAGUUUGUGUAGGUUUUAGUUAAGCUAAGUCUAUGUGCUGCUUAUAAAAGUAUACAUGCGUUACAUUGAUAAAGUUUUAGUUGUAAGUGCUAUUAUAUUUAGGACUUAAAAGUAAUGUUAAAUUAGUUUGUUAAUGUGAAGUAAGUUUAGCUCAUGUACACACCGCCCGUCACCCUCGGUUA